rnacentral:rRNA from 1 species
UACGUAGGGUGCGAGCGUUAAUCGGAAUUACUGGGCGUAAAGCGUGCGUAGGCGGUUCGCUGUGUCCGAUGUGAAAGCCCCGGGCUUAACCUGGGAAUGGCAUUGGAAACUGGCGGGCUUGAGUGCGGCAGAGGGGGGUGGAAUUCCGCGUGUAGCAGUGAAAUGCGUAGAGAUCGGGAGGAACACCAGUGGCGAAGGCGGCUACCUGGACCAGCACUGACACUGAAGCACGAAAGCGUGGGGAGCAAACAGG